GGUGGAUGAUGCGGUUUGUUGUAUUAGUCAAAUUGGUCAUUCGUGUAUUUUUUUGUAUAAUUAAAAUAUUACAAAAAGGCAUUACAUUUAUCUGCAAAGAAGCUGAAUUAUCCCUUACCAGUGCAUAUAACUUCAUUUUUCAUUUUUAGCAAUGGCGUUGUCAGUUUGUUUUAGAUUUAUGAGUUUGACUGUCCCUUUGGUAUCUUUCUUCCCUCUUCUUUAAUUGUGAGUAUUAUCCAAUACGGCAUUCUUUAAACAUGUUUUACUCGUACCUUAUUUUUUUGUAUGUUGUCGUAUGCACUUAAUGAAUUAUAUUUAAAUGUAUAAAGGAGCACCUCAUAAUUAAUUCAUACUGAUGUGCAUGUGUUUGUCUAAAGUUAGAACUCCGGGCAUUUUCUAUAACGAGA
rnacentral:lncRNA from 1 species